rnacentral:rRNA from 1 species
GUCCACGCCCUAAACGAUGAAUACUCGAUGUUAGCGAUAUACAGUUAGCGUCAAAGCGAAAGCGUUAAGUAUUCCACCUGGGGAGUACGCCCGCAAGGGUGAAACUCAAAGGAAUUGACGGGGCCCGCACAAGCGGAGGAGCAUGUGGUUUAAUUCGAUGAUACGCGAGGAACCUUACCCGGGCUUGAAAGUUACUGAAUGAUUCAGAGAUGGAUCAGUCCGCAAGGACAGGAAACUAGGUGCUGCAUGGCUGUCGU